AUCGCUUCUCGGCCUUUUGGCUAAGAUCAAGUGUAGUAUCUGUUCUUAUCAGUCUAUAUAGUCUUUCCAGUCUUUAGUGACUGAACCAUGGGGAAACCCUGAACCAUCUGUUUGAGAGCUGAGCCAGGCCCUUCUGCAUGGCUCCCUGAUCUCUGGACUCCACUUUGUCUGCUUAUCAUAUCCAA